rnacentral:rRNA from 1 species
UCCAGACUCCUACGGGAGGCAGCAGUGGGGGAUAUUGCACAAUGGGCGCAAGCCUGAUGCAGCGACGCCGCGUGAGCGAAGAAGUAUUUCGGUAUGUAAAGCUCUAUCAGCAGGGAAGAAAAUGACGGUACCUGACUAAGAAGCUCCGGCUAAAUACGUGCCAGCAGCCGCGGUAAUACGUAUGGAGCAAGCGUUAUCCGGAAUUACUGGGUGUAAAGGGAGCGUAGACGGCGGCGCAAGUCUGGAGUGAAAGCCCGGGGCCCAACCCCGGGACUGCUCUGGAAACUGCGGCGCUGGAGUACGGGAGGGGCAGGCGGAAUUCCUGGUGUAGCGGUGAAAUGCGUAGAUAUCAGGAGGAACACCGGCGGCGAAGGCGGCCUGCUGGACCGUGACUGACGUUGAGGCUCGAGAGCGUGGGGAGCAAACAGGAUUAGAUACCCCCGUACUA